rnacentral:rRNA from 1 species
CGGUCAAGAGCGGCGGACGGGUGAGUAACACGUAGGUUACGUACCCUCUGGUGGGGAAUAACUCUAGGAAACUGGAGCUAAUACCGCAUAUGGCCUUCGGGUCAAAGCCUUCGGGCGCCAGAGGAUCGGCCUGCGGCCCAUUAUUUAAUCCUUGUUGGUGGGGUAAUGGCCUACCAAGGGUACGAUGGGUAGCUGGUCUGAGAGGAUGAUCAGCCACACUGGGACUGAGACACGGCCCAG